rnacentral:tRNA from 1 species
GCCCUAAUAGCUUAAUCCAUAAAGCAUUGUUCUUGUAAACCAAAGAUGGGAACUACCCCCUUAAGGCA